rnacentral:misc_RNA from 1 species
GAUGAAGAACGUAGCGAAAUGCGAUAAGUAAUGUGAAUUGCAGAAUUCAGUGAAUCAUCGAAUCUUUGAACGCACAUUGCGCCCCUUGGUAUUCCGGGGGGCAUGCCUGUUCGAGCGUCAUUUCACCACUCAAGCCUCGCUUGGUAUUGGGUAACGCGGUCCGCCGCGUGCCUCAAAUCGACCGGCUGGGUCUUCUGUCCCCUAAGCGUUGUGGAAACUAUUCGCUAAAGGGUGUUCGGGAGGCUACGCCGUAAAACAACCCCAUUUCUAAGGUUGACCUCGGAUCAGGUAGGGAUACCCGCUGAACUUAAGCAUAUCAAUAAGCGGAGGA